UUGGAUAGUACAAAAAAUAUU
ensembl:piRNA 21ur-11989 ncRNA